GUCGCGCACGGCCUGAAGCGGUGGGAAAAAGGCCUCUCUCCGACUACCUCCCCUUCCCCGUCUCCUCCCUCUCCCAGAUCCGCCUCCCUCUCCUCCUACUCCCUCAGGCAUGGCGGCGCCCCUCACCGGCCCUCUACCGCCUCUCCCGUCCUCCUUACGCGCGCCCCUCACCGGCCGCCACCGCCGCGGCUUGCCCCGCGCCGCUCCCCACCGGCCACCGACGCGCCUUGCCCCCGCGUCGCCCCCGCACGGAGGGGUCCGGGUUUGCCGGCGCGGGCUUGGGCACCGGCGAGCACUCGUCGAUGUCCACCAUGGGCGCCGGAGCCCCAAGCCCCGCACGGGAACCUCUUCCCCGGCGGCGAGCAACCAACCGCUAAAGGAGGCGUGCCCAUCCAUCAGGUGGAUGCCUCGCUUCCGCUUCGAUUUCAUAUGGGGUUGCGUGCAGAUUUGGGGUUCUCGGUGAUGGGCUAUGCAAAAUUGGUGGCUUCUAAUGCCAGCACAUUGAAUAACCAGAUUUCCAGCCAAGCAUGCAAAAACUUCUUAUUCAUGUACCCCUCUCCUAUCUGGAUCUCAAGCAAACCAAGGAUCAACAGCUUGGCUUUUUCUCUCUGAUUUUCAGCCACGGUAUCAGGUUGACCAUGGCAGGCAUGUUCAGCUAUCAGCUUGUGCAUGUAAGUAGCAAAGAAGCAGGGAGCGGCGAGGUUUCAAGUCUCAGGUAAUGUCAUUUGUGAAGUGUCAUUUUCCUGCAGCAGUGUAUAUGGUAGUCUUUGUCGGCUUGUUAUUUUCUCUAUGUAAUUCCUUGGUUGAUCUUUUGAUGGAUGAUUGGUUUAAUAAAUUUUAGUGAAUGUUUGGCUUAAUCAAUUUACGUUAUUAUUUCUUCCUUGCAUGUUAAUCCCUUUGCUUGGUCAUUACAACUUGGUUGGUUUAAUUUGAUAUGCAGAGGCAAUCAGUUCUUCCUGGAUGUAUAAUCCAUAUUCAUGUUGAUUGCCAGUGAGUUAUACUACUGGAUCAGCUCUCCGAUUUAAGAUAAUUUGAGAUGCUAACUUAUUCUAUCUGCCUGGAGCAAUCUGUUUGCUUCUUGCUUUACUUAUGAUUGGGAUUUGGAGAUGGUGCAAGGUGGAACCUUGGGAAGAGUUCAUGACUUUCUGGGGAGUCGAUGCUAAUGUGUUGUGUUAUAGCUGUGAUUUUAAAGCCUUUGUGGGCUUAAUUUUUACAGCCAAAAAUAUGCUUGCAUUCAUUCAUCCUGGAUGGGGAAACAAUGUACUUGCACGCUUGGUUAAUAAAGGAGCUUGUUCUUGAACACGGAUAGUUGUUCCGCCGGCCGCUGGGUUUAGGAAGGCGCAAAUUUGGCAGAUUGGUCAACUAAAAGCCAGCAGUCAACACUAUAUACAGACAUCUCUUGUGGUUUCAGGUACCAAAGAUGGAGAAGGGAGUGCGAGCAGAGGAUCAGCAGGUGCCGAGGUGCCAGGCACAGCUGGACUGACAGGCGACUGCCAGCACCGGAGCCUCCUGUAAGUCUUGCAAUUUUAGUAUCACUGGAUGUAGACCUACUCAAAUUAGGCAUAGGCUCAACACACCAACAGUGCUAUCAUUUUUUAAAUUCAUCAAAGUCAAGAAUACUUAUGAAUGAUGAAUGCACAUUAUUUCUACAUCAGUGGAGUUGGAAAAUAAGAUAGACAUUAAGAGGCCACCCCUACAGUGAGAUGGAAUAUGCUCAAUAUGCAUAGCUGAAUGAACAUCAAAACAUAGUGUAGAUUUAAAAAGUCAGAUGUAGUGCUCGAUCCAUUUAAAUUUUUUUUGAUAUCCUAUGUCAUUUCAGGCAUGAUUUUGCGGAUGUAGUUGCAGAUAUAGAUUGCAUAAAAAAAUAUUGUUCCUACAGCCUUGAAUAACAAAAUUAAAUGACCAAAGCAAGAAAAUCUAUUUGAGAUAUGAAUCACUUAGUGUCCAGAUUGAUAGAUUCAGAAAGCCAAAGGAAAAUAUAGUAUCAUCUUAUACCACUCAGAUUAAUGGCUAUCAAGGAUGUGAGAUCUGACAGAAUAUUCAUGGCCAACAUGGAGUAUUGGGUUAUUAUUCUUCUUAUAUGAACUUCGUCAGGAAAUGAAUUUCUUUCCAUGUUCAAACUUCUACAAAAGGGUAUUUGUACUUGUUUGUAAGUUUCAGUGGAAUUGCUCCCAGAAAAUAGUUUAAAUUUAAUGAUCCAAGUUUGAAUGUGAUGGGAAGUAUGUUGUCAUUUUAUCUGGUGUUUGUGCCUACAAUUAAAUUUGAGCAUUUGUUAAUUAGUUGCACAGGAGAUUUUCAUUCUGAAUUUGUGCCUACAAGUAUGCAGAACUAUUGUGCAAAUAAAAAACCGAGACAUAUUUGCCAUUGCUGGAUGCUUUAAGAUUCAAUGUUGCAAAGACCAAUUCUUGUGGGCUUAAGAAUAUGUAACAAUAUUACCAGAAAAUUCAUAAACACUUAUGACAGGUCUACUGAAAUCUGAAUCUUACAGCAUAUCUCCUGUUAAUUUUAAAAAACAUAAGGAAAGGAGCCCAAAAGGCACAAGUGUUAUACAUAAACAAAAUAUAAUAAUAGAAAAAAUGUGAAAUGACACACAAGAAAAAGCAAAGACAAGAAUUGAUACCUAAACUGGUAUGCUGGUCGGGAUGCUGCAGCCACAUUCUUCUUCAACUUCUUGGCCGCUGGCAGAUCCUUUUGUAAGAUUGUGUAUAAUGCAUGGGAUAUAUUGCAUUGAGCCUCAAGAGUGAAUAUAUAGGGGUACAAGACUGGGGGGGGGGGGGGGGCAAGAAAGCCUCCCCGAGAUAUUGGAACAGCUUAAAUCCUGCUUAUGGCCAAAAUAAGCCGAAACCAGUAGCCAAACGGCGCAUUUUUUUGCAGCUUAUUCUGGCUGUGCUUCUCCCCACCACUCCCAUUUGUACUAAAACGCCGAAGCUGGAUCAAACCCGCUUCUUAGGGAAGCGAUUUUUCCAUUUUUGUGCAGCUCAUUUGAGAAGCGCUUAUGAAAUAAGUAGUCUAACACCUUCUACUCGGUCUCCUUCCGGCAAGGGCGGGCUGCCCAGCACUUGCCACCUCCAAUUGGUUGUUCCUACUCAUCUUGGAUCCAUCAGGAAUUGAGAAAAUUGAAAUAAUCAAUACCCACUGGGAUAGGCAGUACUUUGAAAGAGAAGAUUAAUAAACAUUUAGUCAGUAGUUUAAUACCAUGCAGCAGCUCAGGUGGUGAGAGUGAGCAAGCAAGCUCAUAAUGGACAAGCAUGCAUCGUUGUUGAUCACCUAAACGGCCAGAGCUCCAUAAGCUCUAUGUACCACCUAAAAAAGAACUGAAUCCACACAAAUCAUUCUUCAGCCAAAAACCUACAGCAACAAAACACCAGCCCCAAAUCAAACAAAAAACACAGUUUACUGAAAACUAGAAAUGCAAGCGCGGCUUUGCUGCGCCUACAUUGGAUUGGACAACUGUAGAAUUCAGUAUGUGUCUCUCGAUUGAGGUGCAACAUUUGAGAAUUGAAUAGUGAUUAUUUGUAAUAAGUAUGCUGAUUUUGGCUAAUGCUACCAUAUCAGAAGUAGCUUUUAGCAUAUUUGAAGUGGGCCUUUUCUCGUUGCCUUAUAUCUUCAUGGCAAGAUAAGAUCCAAGAUACAUCAUGUAUUUAGAAGGGAUUGGAAAAUCCUAAAAGGAUUUUAAAAGUAAUAUCGACAUAUUUAUAUUUAAACCUCUAAGGAAACAAAUCCUUCAUAGACAUAACAUGAAUUGCUUGCACCAUCAAAGACAGUCGAUGCUUCAAGCUCAGGACAUGAUGGAAUGGAAAUUUGCUUGGUCAAUAAAACAUUGAUGGUGUUUACUUGAAAUUAGACAUGUCAAUGAGACACAGAAGGCAUAUUUGCAGAAACCAAGAUAGCAAGCUUAGGAAUUUUCUGAUUUUGUCCAGAACCUGAGGAAGAAAAUCGACUUUCCCCUCGACUAUAAAGAGAUGACAACCACUCUUCCAAAUAACAAAUUCGGUGGUUCUUGUAUACACAUUUGUAAAUUGAUUGUUUAUAUACAAUUGGGAUAUCGUAGUAUAUACAAAUAAACAUGCUUUUACUGUCUAGAGGAGGAAAAAUGUGCAUUAUAACAAUCUUAGUAGGGCGUAGGGCACACCUUCCUGAGCAUUCGUAUUCAAAAUCUGGAGAACAGAAGCUCUGUGGCAUUUAGUGCAUGAAUUGAACCACCAAGACUGAUAUGAAUUAUGCAACAUGGAUUGAUAUCAUCAUCUGAGGUUCAGUAAAUAUAAUGAACAAAAAUGUUAUUUUGAUGAUAGAAAUGAAAAAUUGUUUGGCAGAAAGGCACUUCGCAAGUAAUGCAUUCGUAAAAUUGCACAGCUGACUGGUAAAAGCUAAAAAUGGUUAACUAUCCAACGAAACUACAUUAGUAUGCCAUUUAAUUUGUUAGUAACUACAGCUGUACAGAAAGCAAUGGAUUUACCUGUGAAGGUGCUCAAUUCAUUGUUAUUCAGAUCAGAGACGAUGGAGUGGUUGUGAAAAGUACACUUUUAUGUAUUUGUUGAUAUAUAGCAAUAUAGCAUCAGGUUGUUGCCUGUUCCUAGUCAAAUUGUCGAUCAAAUAUGCAUAAGAUUGAGACUACGCACACACACAACUCAUCUACUAAGGUUAUGGACUCAAACAAUCUAUUAAGCCAAAUUCGUACGGUCGUAUGGACGACCAGGAUUGAAGUCACACCGUCGGCAGCCCAGCCACGCGACAAGAUGAUGGUGGCUGAAGAGAGAGGAGAGAUGGUGAGGCAGCUACGGAGACACUUCUGAGUGAUGGCAAGUCUCAAGAAAGAAUAAUGUUACUAUAGAGGUCCUUCCUCAUGUGAACAUCACACUUCAUGAUAGAGUUGCAGGUGGUCUAAUGGAUUCCAGGUGAUUACAUACUAUAGAGGUCCUUCCUCAUGUGAACAUCACACUUCAUGAUAGAGUUGCAGGUGGUCUAAUGGAUUCCAGGUGAUUACAUACCACGGAAAGAAGGCUGGAAGGGGAACUGACCUCAGCACAUCUGAACAUCUCUGCCCCAAUGGUGAUCAAGUGUCCAUAAGGAAACUUAUAGCUGUUCUCCGCAGAGGAGCUGGUCAUCACCUAGAUGGAUUGGCUCUUUUGGAUCCAUGCCCCCAUGCAUCUGAAACUCCCUGUAAUGUUGUUGUGCAUGACUUGGUUGCUAGUGUGACUUGGCCGACCCAACUCCCUCCGGGUUGGACGGUCAAGUGGGACCCAUCCUCGGUCGGCGAGGAUUGCGGUAGCUGAUAUCAUGGCCGGCUUCACCAUGAUGUUUCUGCUUCAACGUUUAGUUGCCAUCCUUUUUCCACUGCUUAAACUUUGAACAAUUUACUUUACGCACUUUUUGAACUCUUGUGGUGUAAUAAAUUGAAGUUGAACCUAAGUUAAUCUACGUGGAAUGUUGUAAUC